CGGAUCUUGCCAAGAGUGAGUGCCCGAGGGCUUCCAUUAUUUCAUGGAUUGAAAACUGAAUUCGACUCCGUAUUUCCCAAAAAUGGAAUGGGACAGUCAUUCGAAAACGAGAAAAGAAAGGCGUCAAGACAUCUAUAUGACCCAGUGAGACAUCUCACGAGUUGGAUUCGAACCAAGACCUCUUGCACUCAGCGAACUACCCUUUUUUCGACUCGUGAGUUUGGUAACCCGGUCUGUCACGCCACAUACUACAUUCGGAGGCGCCCUUCCACCUACUUAUCCCGCGAAAAAAGUG
rnacentral:lncRNA from 1 species